rnacentral:rRNA from 1 species
UACGGGGGGAGCAAGCGUUGUUCGGAUUUACUGGGCGUAAAGGGCGCGUAGGCGGCGUGACAAGUCACUUGUGAAAUCCCCGGGCUUAACCUGGGAACUGCAUUGGUGACUGCAUCGCUCGAGUAUGGCAGAGGGGGGUAGAAUUCCACGUGUAGCAGUGAAAUGCGUAGAGAUGUGGAGGAAUACCGAUGGCGAAGGCAGCCCCCUGGGUCAAUACUGACGCUCAUGCACGAAAGCGUGGGGAGCAAACAGG